rnacentral:rRNA from 1 species
UAUGUGAUCGUCUCUCGCAUAUCAAUAAGCGGAGGAAAAGAAACUAACAAGGAUUCCCCUAGUAACGGCGAGUUAAGCGGGAAGAGCUCAAAUUUGAAAUCUUAAAGGGUUUCCCUUUACGAAUUGUAGUUUAAAGAAGUGUUUUCUGUUGAGGUUUUGGUAAAAGUUCUUUGGAAUAGGACAUCAUAGAGGGUGAGAAUCCCGUAUUUGACCUUUACUUUCAACUUUGUGAUACACUUUCAAAGAGUCGGAUUGUUUGGGAAUGCAGUCCAAAAUGGGUGGUAAAUUUCAUCUAAAGCUAAAUAUUGGCGAGAGACCGAUAGCGAACAAGUACCGUGAGGGAAAGAUGAAAAGAACUUUGAAAAGAGAGUUAAACAGUACGUGAAAUUGUCAAAAGGGAAGCGUUUGACACCAGUGUUGUUUUUCUGAAAAUCAAUUAAAGAACUGUUUAUGCUAAGUUGUUUAGACUUUAUCAGCUAACUGUUUAGUUUUGAGCUUUUCUUUAAUGCACUUUUCAGUUAACAAGUCAACAUCAAUUUCUUUUGCUGUAAAAAAGCUUGAGGAAGGUGGCUUGAGAUUCGUCUUAAGUGUUUAUAGCCUCUUGCCUAUGCAGUCGGAGAGAUUGAGGUCUGCAGCGUAGAUCCUUCGGGGCUAAAUGCAUUUGUGCUAAGGUUAUAGCAUUUUAUAGACAACUUGUUGACUAUGAUUUGUCUUGUAGCUUACUCGCUUAUGUUAUUUUACCUACGCUUAGGAUGUUGAUAUGCAUGACUGAUAU